CGUAAAUGUUCCCUUUGCCUGCCCUCAGUUCCUGUGCGCCUUUGAGCCCAGGCUGUCCAGAAACUGAGUUUGAAUCCCGGCUCCACUGCAGGGACCGCUUGCUUCUUGAGGUCUGGUCCUCUUGUCUGCCAGAUUGGAGAAUGGCUUUCUCUCAGGCUGUUGGGAAGGUCCGUGAAGUUUCAGGAUUCAGAGCGCUUGGCACCGUGCACACCAUGACGGAUGGUGUAUCCCUGCUUUGUUUGGAAGGGAAAACUUGAACAGCUUGUCUGCACCUCUCCACUCGGACAUUAAAUCAACAUGGCUCUAUUAGUGGCCUGGGAUGCCAGCUGAGCUGUCUCUGAGCCUGUCACCGUGAUGUCUUCAUCUGUAACCAGAGCAGACGUGAGCUCCUGGCAGCUUCGGGAGGUGACAACAAAUGCAAUUAGCUCCUCUCCACGGCUCCGCAGCACCACUGCGAAGCGGCCUGACGCGGAGGGCGGCAGCGGCACCCGGCACAGUGGGGCACGGCGUUCGCAGGGAAGGAGAGGGAGGGGUGGGGAGCGGCAGAGGAAGGGGAGGGAACAAAGGGACCAAGCUUAAUUGUUGGAGUGACUUUCUGCAUGAGCGGAGAGACCUCGUGCCAGAGCGGCCUGAAACGGGCCAGCCCCUCCGGGUCUUGGAUGGCUGACGAGGCUGCCAGAAGCCCAGUGUUUUGGAGUCAACCCCCCACUUUGAAAGCGAGCUCGACUUGGAUGCUGGCUGUCUUGGGGGACAAGUCAGCAUCCCAUCCCCUUCCUCCUCUGCCUCCUCCCUGCCUCUCUCCUCUGCCUGCUCCACACACUGUCCAGAAGAUAACAGGACUUCUGGGGCUGGUGGGAGGGGAGCGUGGGGUACCACUCUUGAUCAGGGUGGGGCCCAAAAGACAGGUUCGGUCUCUCGGAAGCAAUGGAGGUGGAGGUGGGUGCGUGAUGAGGCUGUAGGGUAGAGUGAUAGAGCAAGGGCAGAAGGUGCUAGAAGGAAGUAGGUGGGGAUGAGGUCACACCUCCCAGCAUCCAGUGGGCACAGAGGAGGUGAUGCCGGACACAGAGCCUUGGCAGCUGGUUCAGUGUGGAGAGUGUGGAGGGAAAAGAAAAAGGAAGAAGAAAAAGAACAACCUCCCUCAAAAGCCCAACUCGAGGCAGCUCGCCAGGCUGAGAGUUCACAAAAGUUUCCGAGUUCCUGGGAGGAACGCAACGUGAACGAUGUCUCGGGUCAUUUAUUUCUUAAUGAUGACUCCCCGGCAAGCUCUGGGAUGCUUCCAGCCAUCCGCCAGGCCCGGAUGCACUUUCUGGAGUCAGGCGUUCUCUGAGCUCCAAGAAUAGCCAGAAAUGGAGGUUGGUGGGGACUGGGAUGGCAGGGAAGGGGACCCUUGAGAUCUUGGGAAGAAUGGAACCAAGAAAAGGGGAAAGGAAAGGAGGGAGGUAGAAGGCCUCAGAACACGGCUGUCGGUGAGACUUAGAUGGACAAAGAUGUCUGGUCUGCAUGCCUCCCUCCACCCAUGGUAAGAGGCUUGAGUGAUGGGAAGCAGGAGGGAUGAUGGAGUCAGAACGCUCGCCUGAGCUCGCCCACAAGCUGGGCUGCCUUACACACUGUCCUACCCUCUCUGUGCUUCUGGUUUGCGUGUUAACAACAGUGAAGAGGGCAGUGUCCUUCCAGGAGGGAACCAUAGUGAGGAGCACUGGAUGGGUACUCAGGGGUGGUUUUCUUUUUUUUUCUUCCCCGCUUUGGCCUCAUCUUCCUGGUUCUUUGAGGAUUGCCAAGAUGGAGAAACAGGUCCCUGCCUGCAGAAGCCAGGCCUUGGGAAUGCCUUCGGAGUUUCAACCACAUGAAAUGGGCCAGAGCCACUUCCAGGAAAGGGCUCGGAGCGUGGACCCCUUCCUGGGAGAGGCAGCAAGCAGGAACCUGCAAUUGUCGCCUGCCGGAGCCAGCAGGAAUGGAAUCAGUGACUAAUGGCUGGCAGCGCGGGGGUCUCUGCUGCCAGUUUGCUGGUGGGGCUGGCGCUUCUCACCGUAACCUGGGCCCAUCUACCUACGGGGGGCUGGCAGCGGCAGGGCCCUCAGGCGAGUGAUGUAAAGGGGAG
ensembl:lncRNA